rnacentral:SRP_RNA from 1 species
AUGCGAUGCCAUCGCGGUAUUUCCGCUUCGAACUAGGUCAGGGCCGGAAGGCAGCAGCCUUAAGAGGCGGCGGUGCGUGCGGUGGUUUUUUCGUGCUUG